AUUGAACGCUGGCGGCAGGCCUAACACAUGCAAGUCGAACGGCAGCACAGAAGAGCUUGCUCUUUGGGUGGCGAGUGGCGGACGGGUGAGUAACACGUAGGAAUCUACCCAGUAGUGGGGGAUAACCUGGGGAAACCCAGGCUAAUACCGCAUACGCCCUGAGGGGGAAAGCGGGGGAUCUUCGGACCUCGCGCUAUUGGAUGAGCCUGCGUCGGAUUAGCUAGUUGGUGGGGUAAGGGCCCACCAAGGCGACGAUCCGUAGCUGGUCUGAGAGGAUGACCAGUCACACCGGAACUGAGACACGGUCCGGACUCCUACGGGAGGCAGCAGUGGGGAAUAUUGGACAAUGGGCGCAAGCCUGAUCCAGCCAUGCCGCGUGGGUGAAGAAGGCCUCGGUUGUAAGCCUUACGUGGGAGGAAGGCGAGUUCAUGACUAACUAACCUAACGUAGGUAGUAGUAGUUAGU
rnacentral:rRNA from 1 species